rnacentral:rRNA from 1 species
UACGGAGGGUGCAAGCGUUAUCCGGAUUCACUGGGUUUAAAGGGUGCGUAGGUGGGUUGGUAAGUCAGUGGUGAAAUCUCCGAGCUUAACUUGGAAACUGCCAUUGAUACUAUCAGUCUUGAAUAUUGUGGAGGUCAGCGGAAUAUGUCAUGUAGCGGUGAAAUGCUUAGAUAUGACAUAGAACACCAGUUGCGAAGGCAGCUGGCUACACAUAUAUUGACACUGAGGCACGAAAGCGUGGGGAUCAAACAGG